GUAGGUGAACCUGCGGAAGGAUCAUUAAAGAGCAAGGGUCUUCCAGGCCCGACCUCCAACCCUAUGUGUACUUACCUUCGUUGCUUUGGCGGGCCCGAUGGGGAAACUCACCGGCGGCCACAGGCUGUUGAGCGCCCGUCAAAGACCCAUCAAACCCUGUCAACUGUGCAGUCUGAGUACCAAUCUAAUAGUUAAAACUUUCAACAACGGAUCUCUUGGUUCUG
rnacentral:misc_RNA from 1 species